rnacentral:rRNA from 1 species
GAUGAACGCUAACGGCAGGCUUAAUACAUGCAAGUCGAGGGGGCAGCAAUGUCACCGGCGAACGGGUGCGUAACGCGUAUGCAACCUACCUACAUCAGGGGGAUAGCCCUAGGAAGCUGGGAUUAACACCGCAUAACAUAUGACAAGGCAUCUUGUUAUAUUGAAAUAUUUAUAGGAUGUAGAUGGGCAUGCGUAGGAUUAGCUAGUUGGUAAGGUAACGGCUUACCAAGGCUACGAUCCUUAGGGGCUCUGAGAGGAGUAUCCCCCACACUGGCACUGAGAUACGGGCCAGACUCCUACGGGAGGCAGCAGUAGGGAAUAUUGGGCAAUGGAGGCAACUCUGACCCAGCCAUGCCGCGUGCAGGAAGACGGUCCUCUGGAUUGUAAACUGCUUUUGAAUGGGAAGAAUGUGUGGCUUGCGAGCUAUAAUGACGGUACCAUUAGAAUAAGCCACGGCUAACUACGUGCCAGCCGCCGCGGUAAGAC